CACAUGCAAGUCGAGGGCGAGCGAGGAGUUAGCUUGCUAACGUUGUCGGCGACCGGCGCACGGGUGAGUAACGCGUAUCCAACUUCCCCAUAGUAGAGGAUAGCCCGGCGAAAGUCGGAUUAAUACUCUAUGUUGUAUUUCGAGGACAUCUGAAGAAUACCAAAGGUUUACCGCUAUGGGAUGGGGAUGCGUCUGAUUAGGUAGUAGGCGGGGUAACGGCCCACCUAGCCAUCGAUCAGUAGGGGUUCUGAGAGGAAGGUCCCCCACAUUGGAACUGAGACGCGGUCCAAACUCCUACGGGAGGCAGCAGUGAGGAAUAUUGGUCAAUGGGCGGGAGCCUGAACCAGCCAAGUAGCGUGCAGGAUGACGGCCCUAUGGGUUGUAAACUGCUUUUAUGCGGGGAUAAAGUGCGCCACGUGUGGCGUUUUGUAGGUACCGCAUGAAUAAGGACCGGCUAAUUCCGUGCCAGCCGCCGC
rnacentral:rRNA from 1 species